UACGUAGGGGGCUAGCGUUGUCCGGAUUUAUUGGGCGUAAAGAGCGUGUAGGCGGCCAGGUAGGUCUGCUGUGAAAACUCGAGGCUCAACCUCGAGACGUCGGUUGAAACCACCUGGCUAGAGUCCGGAAGAGGAGAGUGGAAUUCCUGGUGUAGCGGUGAAAUGCGCGGAUAUCAGGAAGAACACCUGCGGCGAAGGCGGGUUGCUGGGCCGACACUGACGCUGAUGCGCGAAAGCCAGGGGAGCGAACGGG
rnacentral:rRNA from 1 species